AAGAGAAGGCCAAGGAGGAGGCCGAGGAGGCGGCUGAAGAGGAGGCUGAAAAGGAGCCCCAGGACUGGGCGGAGACCAAGGAGGAGCCUGAGGCUGAGGCCGAGGCUGCCAGUUCAGGAGGAAGAAGCUGCCCUCUGAGGAUGAUGAGGCUGAAGAGCUCAAGGCGUUGUCACCAGCAGAGUCCCCAGUGGUUGCCUGGUCUGACCCCACCACCCCGAAGGACACUGAGUGAGACCCCUCUGGGGUCUCAGAAAGUUGAAAGACUAGGGGGAGGGUGGGGGAUGUGGGGGGGCUAGUGUGGAUGCUUUUAGAACCUUCUACCGCAAGGCAGACUUUGCCAGUGGCUUCUGAGCAGUAAGUCAGGAUCGGUCUCCUGCCCAGGCUGCUU
rnacentral:sRNA from 1 species